GAUUGUAAAUCAGUUGCUAAUUUUUGCAAUCGAUUACAAAUCGAUUGACAACUCUUGAGCUAAUUAAAAUAAUUUUUUAAUUUAGUAAUCAAUUCCCUUAAUUUAUUGCUAUUAGUAAUCAAUUUUUUAAUCGGCUGUAACCGAUUUUAAAAUUGAUUGCUUAUCAUAUAUUUAAAAUUUUUCUAAUAUCGAUUAGCAAUCAAUUACAAAUCGGUUACUAUUAGUAGUCAAUUUUUGAAUCAGUUGCUAUUUUUUUUAAUUAAUAAUUUUAUUAAAAAAUUAAAAUCACAAAUCAAU
rnacentral:misc_RNA from 1 species